AGUUGUCGUAGCCGGCGACGGCGAUGACGCCCAGGUCGCCGAUCUCGGUCGGGGUGCGGAAACCGCCCGCCAGUUCCAGGCUGCCGUCGACCG
rnacentral:tRNA from 1 species